rnacentral:rRNA from 1 species
AGUGAACGCUGGCGGUAGGCCUAACACAUGCAAGUCGAACGGCAGCACAGGAGAGCUUGCUCUCUGGGUGGCGAGUGGCGGACGGGUGAGGAAUACAUCGGAAUCUACCUUUUCGUGGGGGAUAACGUAGGGAAACUUACGCUAAUACCGCAUACGACCUACGGGUGAAAGUGGGGGACCGCAAGGCCUCACGCGAUUAGAUGAGCCGAUGUCCGAUUAGCUAGUUGGCGGGGUAAUGGCCCACCAAGGCGACGAUCGGUAGCUGGUCUGAGAGGAUGAUCAGCCACACUGGAACUGAGACACGGUCCAGACUCCUACGGGAGGCAGCAGUGGGGAAUAUUGGACAAUGGGCGCAAGCCUGAUCCAGCCAUACCGCGUGGGCGAAGAAGGCCUUCGGGUUGUAAAGCCCUUUUGUUGGGAAAGAAAUCCUAUCGGUUAAUGACCGGUGGGGAUGACGGUACCCAAAGAAUAAGCACCGGCUAACUUCGUGCCAGCCGCCGCCGUAACAC